AGUGAACGCUGGCGGUAGGCCUAACACAUGCAAGUCGAACGGCAGCACAGUAAGAGCUUGCUCUUACGGGUGGCGAGUGGCGGACGGGUGAGGAAUACAUCGGAAUCUACUUUUUCGUGGGGGAUAACGUAGGGAAACUUACGCUAAUACCGCAUACGACCUACGGGUGAAAGCAGGGGAUCUUCGGACCUUGCGCGAUUGAAUGAGCCGAUGUCGGAUUAGCUAGUUGGCGGGGUAAAGGCCCACCAAGGCGACGAUCCGUAGCUGGUCUGAGAGGAUGGUCAGCCACCCUGGCACUGAGACACGGUCCAGACUCCUACGGGAGGCAGCAGUGGGGAAUAUUGGACAAUGGGCGCAAGCCUGAUCCAGCCAUACCGCGUGGGUGAAGAAGGCCUUCGGGUUGUAAAGCCCUUUUGUUGGGAAAGAAAAGCAGCAGGUUAAUACCCCGCUGUUCUGACGGUACCCAAAGAAUAAGCACCGGCUAACUUCGUG
rnacentral:rRNA from 1 species